rnacentral:rRNA from 1 species
GACGAACGCUGGCGGCGUGCUUAACACAUGCAAGUCGAACGGUGAACGAGGGAGCUUGCUCCCUCCGGAUCAGUGGCGAACGGGUGAGUAACACGUGAGCAAUCUGCCCCGAACUCUGGGAUAAGCGUUGGAAACGACGUCUAAUACCGGAUACGACGCGGGAGGGCAUCCUCUCCGCGUGGAAAGAACUUCGGUUCGGGAUGGGCUCGCGGCCUAUCAGCUUGUUGGUGAGGUAACGGCUCACCAAGGCGACGACGGGUAGCCGGCCUGAGAGGGUGACCGGCCACACUGGGACUGAGACACGGCCCAGACUCCUACGGGAGGCAGCAGUGGGGAAUAUUGCACAAUGGGCGGAAGCCUGAUGCAGCAACGCCGCGUGAGGGACGACGGCCUUCGGGUUGUAAACCUCUUUUAGCAGGGAAGAAGCGAAAGUGACGGUACCUGCAGAAAAAGCACCGGCUAACUACGUG